GUCCUGUGGAACGGAAAUGAUCUGGAGUAUUUUUUCAUAGCUGUUUUUCUGCCGAUUGAGUCAAGAUUGCAUCCAGAUCUUGUCGAUUGCGAACCGUUUUUUGCCGAAACCGUUCCGAAACAGUCCCGUUAUUAAUACGAAAUUCGUCAAUGAUACUCACGUCAGAGUCCCGACAAUUACAGAAUACAAUACGACUGAGACCAAACAAAGCCGUUUGCAAUGCGAUAGAGCGGACCGUGAUAGGAUUACGUUCCGACAGUACCUGAUCAUCCCGAAUAUGCCGACAGUUUUCGAACGGAUAACUUCCGUCAGCGUCGGUUCACUGUCUGGUCACUGUCUGAUCUCUGUCGUAUUACAUUCGGUAGAGUCGGG
rnacentral:lncRNA from 1 species